rnacentral:lncRNA from 1 species
GCCAGGUUCCAGUAUUUUGUUAUAGCAGCACAAAGCCAAUCAAGCUAGCCUGCUCUGUCCAUGCACUAAUUUGUUCAGAAAGUCUGGUGCAGCAUUUCCUUCCCAGGUCAGAACUAUGCCAACUUGGAUGGGCUAAGGAUGAAACCAUACUCCACAGAGCCCUCAUCUCAGGAAGCUCUCUCUGGAUUUGAGGCCAUAGACUCAGACAAAGUCCCAAGCCAGAUCCACACACCAAGGAUCACAGAAAGAGGCAGGGACCUGGGUGCCCACCAUGGCUGGCCACAGAAUUCAAUCCCAGCAUCAUUUGCUCCUGUUAGGUAGCAUCAGUAGACAGAUGAAACACUUGAAAAUCUGGGAGCCUGGUAAAGAGGCCUUGCCCGCCUUCUGCCUCAUCACCCUCUCUUAUCCUAGGAAUGGCCCUUCCUCUUCCCUGCUACAAAUUAAUGCCAUUG